CCUACGGGUGGCAGCAGUGGGGAAUAUUGGACAAUGGGGGCAACCCUGAUCCAGCCAUACCGCGUGUGUGAAGAAGGCCCUCGGGUUGUAAAGCACUUUCAGUGAGGAAGAACGCCUGGUGGUUAAUACCCAUCAGGAAAGACAUCACUCACAGAAGAAGCACCGGCUAACUCCGUGCCAGCAGCCGCGGUAAUACGGAGGGUGCGAGCGUUAAUCGGAAUUACUGGGCGUAAAGCGCGCGUAGGUGGCUUGAUAAGCCGGUUGUGAAAGCCCCGGGCUCAACCUGGGAACGGCAUCCGGAACUGUCAAGCUAGAGUGCAGGAGAGGAAGGUAGAAUUCCCGGUGUAGCGGUGAAAUGCGUAGAGAUCGGGAGGAAUACCAGUGGCGAAGGCGGCCUUCUGGACUGACACUGACACUGAGGUGCGAAAGCGUGGGUAGCAAACAGGAUUAGAUACCCGAGUAGUC
rnacentral:rRNA from 1 species